UCUACGGGAGGCAGCAGUGGGGAAUCUUGCGCAAUGGGCGAAAGCCUGACGCAGCCAUGCCGCGUGAAUGAUGAAGGUCUUAGGAUUGUAAAAUUCUUUCACCGGGGACGAUAAUGACGGUACCCGGAGAAGAAGCCCCGGCUAACUUCGUGCCAGCAGCCGCGGUAAUACGAAGGGGGCUAGCGUUGCUCGGAAUUACUGGGCGUAAAGGGAGCGUAGGCGGAUAGUUUAGUCAGAGGUGAAAGCCCAGGGCUCAACCUUGGAAUUGCCUUUGAUACUGGCUAUCUUGAGUAUGGGAGAGGUAUGCGGAACUCCGAGUGUAGAGGUGAAAUUCGUAGAUAUUCGGAAGAACACCAGUGGCGAAGGCGGCAUACUGGCCCAUUACUGACGCUGAGGCUCGAAAGCGUGGGGAGCAAACAGGAUUAGAUACCCUGGUAGUCCACGCUGUAAACGAUGAGUGCUAGUUGUCGGNAUGCAUGCAUGUCGGUGACGCAGCUAACGACAUUAAGUACACUCCGCCCGUCGGGGAGGUACGGUCGGCGAAGAAGUUAAAACGUUAAAAGGUAAAGUUAGUACGGCGUGAGACGUGCCGAACGGACGACCGACGAGGGGAAGGAGGG
rnacentral:rRNA from 1 species